CCUACGGGAGGCAGCAGUAGGGAAUUUUCGGCAAUGGGGGGAACCCUGACCGAGCAACGCCGCGUGAACGAAGAAGGUAUUCGUAAUGUAAAGUUCUUUUAACAGGGAAGAAAGAUAAAUUUGACGGUACCUGAAGAAUAAGCUCCGGCUAACUACGUGCCAGCAGCCGCGGCAAAAAGUAGGGAGCGAGCGUUAUCCGGAAUUAUUGGGCGUAAGGGGUGCGUAGAUGGCAUAGAAAGGCUUUUGUAAAAAUGCUGGGCCAAACCCAGUAGGGCAAAAGAUACUGGAAAGCUAGAGUAUGACAGAGGCAAGUGGAACUACAUGUGGAGCGGUAAAAUGCGUAAAUAUAUGUAAGAACACCAGUGGCGAAGGCGGCUUGCUGGAUCGAAACUGACAUUGAGGCACGAAAGCGUGGGGAGCAAACAGGAUUAGAUACCCCUGUAGUC
rnacentral:rRNA from 1 species